AUUGAACGCUGGCGGCAGGCUUAACACAUGCAAGUCGAACGAGCGGCGGACGGGUGAGUAAUGUCUGGGAAACUGCCUGCUGGAGGGGGCUAACUACUGGAAACGGUAGCUAAUACCGCAUACCAUCAGAUGUGCCCAGAUGGGAUUAGCUAGUAGGUGGGGUAAUGGCCAACCAAGGCGACGAUCCCUAGCUGGUCUGAGAGGAUGACCAGCCAACCUGGAACUGAGACACGGUCCAGACUCCUACGGGAGGCAGCAGUGGGGAAUAUUGCACAAUGGGAGCAAGCCUGAUGCAGCCAUGCCGCGUGUGUUAAGAAGGCCUUCGGGUUGUAAAGUACUUUCAGCGGGGAGGCGUUACUCGCAGAAGAAGCACCGGCUAACUCCGUGCCAGCAGCCGCGGUAAUUC
rnacentral:rRNA from 1 species